UGGGGAAUAUUGCACAAUGGGGAAGACCCUGAUGCAGCGACGCCGCGUGAAGGAAGAAGUAUCUCGGUAUGUAAACUUCUAUCAGCAGGGAAGAAAAUGACGGUACCUGACUAAGAAGCCCCGGCUAACUACGUGCCAGCAGCCGCGGUAAUACGUAGGGGCGAAGCGUUAUCCGGAUUUACUGGGUGUAAAGGGAGCGUAGACGGAGCAGCAAGUCUGAUGUGAAAGGCGGGGCUCAACCCCGGCGAUCGCUAUUGGAAACUGUUGAUCUUGAGUACCGGAGAGGUAAGCGGAAUUCCUAGUGUAGCGGUGAAAUGCGUAGAUAUUAGGAGGAACACCAGUGGCGAAGGCGGCUUACUGGACGGUAACUGACGUUGAGGCUCGAAAGCGUGGGGAGCAAACAGGAUUAGAUACC
rnacentral:rRNA from 1 species